rnacentral:rRNA from 1 species
CCUACGGGAGGCAGCAGUGAGGAAUAUUGGUCAAUGGACGAGAGUCUGAACCAGCCAAGUCGCGUGAAGGAUGACUGCCCUAUGGGUUGUAAACUUCUUUUAUAUGGGAAUAAAAUGUUCCACGUGUGGGAUUUUGUAUGUACCAUAUGAAUAAGGAUCGGCUAACUCCGUGCCAGCAGCCGCGGUAAUACGGAGGAUCCGAGCGUUAUCCGGAUUUAUUGGGUUUAAAGGGAGCGUAGGUGGAUUGUUAAGUCAGUUGUGAAAGUUUGCGGCUCAACCGUAAAAUUGCAGUUGAAACUGGCAGUCGUGAGUACAGUAGAGGUGGGCGGAAUGCGUGGUGUAGCGGUGAAAUGCUUAGAUAUCACGAAGAACUCCGAUUGCGAAGGCAGCUCACUGGACUGCAACUGACACUGAGGCUCGAAAGUGUGGGUAUCAAACAGGAUUAGAUACCCCAGUAGUC